rnacentral:rRNA from 1 species
CAGAGGUCCCAAGCGUUGUUCGGAUUCACUGGGCGUAAAGGGUGCGUAGGUGGUAAGGUAAGUCGGAUGUGAAAUCUCCAGGCUCAACCUGGAAAUGGCAUCGGAAACUGCCUUGCUCGAGGUUUGGAGGGGGGACUGGAAUACUUGGUGUAGCAGUGAAAUGCGUAGAUAUCAAGUGGAACACCAGUGGCGAAGGCGAGUCCCUGGACAAAACCUGACACUGAGGCACGAAAGCUAGGGGAGCAAACAGGAUUAGAUACCCUGUAGUCCUAGCUGUAAACGGUGCCUAUUUGCUGUAAAAGGAAUCGACCCCUUUUGUGGCGUAGCAAACGCGUUAAAUAAGCCGCCUGGGAAGUACGGUCGCAAGAUUA